UACGGAGGGUGCGAGCGUUGUCCGGAAUCAUUGGGCGUAAAGGGCGCGUAGGUGGCCCCUCAAGCGUGCGGUGAAAGUCAGGGGCUCAACCCCUGAUCGGCCGUGCGAACUGGGGAGCUUGAGCACUGUAGAGGCAGGCGGAAUGCCGGGUGUAGCGGUGGAAUGCGUAGAGAUCCGGAAGAACACCGGUGGCGAAGGCGGCCUGCUGGGCAGUUUUGCUGACACUGAGGCGCGACAGCGUGGGGAGCAAACAGG
rnacentral:rRNA from 1 species